CUUUCGGAGCUGUGCGGCAUUCUGAGCAGUUCUGUGGCAAAGGAGGAUGAAGGCUUACGAGGUGGAGUUUGAGGCUGGAUAGACAGUUUGAAAGGUACAAAUAAUGGUUUGAAUAAAGAAAGGUAUUAAUGGGUCACCUCAAGUGAAGGCACUGCAAACACAAUGAUUGGUCAUUCUGAAUUUCCGGUCCUUCAUUCUGAAUUUCAAAGGCUCCUGUGACAAGUGGACAUGCAGUGACUGCACCUUUGUUUCUGAGGUGCCUGGAUGGAGGCUCAAAUAGAAGAUGGUGUCAGAUAUAUUGUGUUAAAAUUUUACCAUUAAAGUGUAUUAUAACAUGAA
rnacentral:lncRNA from 1 species